GAGUUUUUAGCAAGGGUAUGUGACAAGAAUCAGAUAUACAAAACCUUCCACGUUGGUCUUAGCAGCGUGACUGUUUUUCUCCAGCAGACCCUCUCCUCAGACCUAUUUUCAAGUUUCUGCUUUCUUCAGCCACUCUCCUGCCUGUCCUGUUCCAGACAGUUCUCCCACAGAAGAGCUGCAGUAUUCCUGGUGUUCAGCCAUGCUCCUGGUGCUCCUCCCGCUGCUGGGGGUUCACUUUCUCCUGAGAGACUCCAGAGCACAGUCAGUGACUCAGCCUGAAGCUCGCAUCACUGUCACUGAAGGAUCCUCUCUGCAGAUGAGAUGCAACUAUUCCUCCAGUGUGACGACUUAUCUGUUCUGGUAUGUCCAGUACCCACGACAGGGGCUCCAGCUGCUCCUCAAGUAUUAUUCAGGAGACCCCGUGGUUCUCGGCUUGAGUGGCUUUGAGGCUGAGUUUAGCAAGAGCGACUCUUCCUUCCACCUGAAGAAAGCCUCUGUGCACCUGAGCGACUCGGCUGUGUACUUCUGUGCUCUGAGUGCACAGUGUGUGGGGCUGCAGGAGGAGCUGAACAUAAACACCCAUGGCAGUGGAGCGCUCAACUAAAGGUUUCUCCUUGGGUCUUUGAGGGAUGUCUUUCAGUUGCCUUUGCACAACUCUGUUCUUGCAACAAUAUCCACUGUCUGACUUUGUCUCAGAAGCUCUUUGCUUAUUUCCAAAAUUAUCUGAUGCUCAAUUAUAGUUCCGUAGAGUGGAGGAGACUGUUGUUAUCUGUGUGUAGACAUUUCCGGAGUAGACAUUGUUUAGACUACAACUACACUAAGUGACUGAUUGUGUGUGCAGGGAAAUACCAGACACUGUCUUCCGUUUGUCAUUUAUGUCUUGUCUACACAGAAAGUAAAAAUUACCCUUCAGGCUUUGUCCUGAGCUUUACCUUCAAUACUGACUCUUUCAUACUGAUUUUUCUAUAAAUUCUUCU